rnacentral:rRNA from 1 species
GGCUCCCUGUAUAUUAAAAAUAAGGAGUCGGACCUGCCCAGUGAAAUUUUUCAACGGCCGCGGUACUCUGACCGUGCAAAGGUAGCAUAAUCAUUUGCCUUAUAAUUGAAGGCUUGUAUGAAUGGUUUGACAAGAAUGGAGCUGUCUCUUUAUAAUUAACUAGAAUUUUAUUUAUAGGUGAAGAAGCCUAUAUUAUAUUGAAAGACAAGAAGACCCUAUCGAGCUUUAAAAAAAUUAAUAAAUUAAAAAAUUAAUAUUAAAAUAUAAAUUUUUGUUAUUAAGUUAUUUUAGUUGGGGCGACUGAGGAACAGAUAAAGCUUCCUAUAUAAUACUAAUACAUUCAAGUAUUGAUCCAAACAUUUUGAUUAAAGGAAUUAGUUACCGUAGGGAUAACAGCAUUAUCUUUUUUGAGAGUUCUAAUCGAAAAAAAGGUUUGUGACCUCGAUGUUGGACCAGAAUAUCCUAAAGAUGCAGCCGUCUUUAAGGGUUGGUCUGUUCGACCAUUAAAAUUCUACGUGAUCUGAGUUCAGACCGGCGUGAGCCAGGUCAGUUUCUAUCUUCAAUUUUCAUAGUGAGCUUAGUACGAAAGGACCAGUUUACUGUAAAAUAAAUUACUACGUUUGAUAAAAUAUAAAGCAUUAUUAAAUUAAUUAUAGUAAUAUAAUUUAUAAUCAAAUUAGCAAAGAUUUAAUGCAAUUGACUUAGGAUCAAUAGACAUAGGUGAAACUCCUUUAUUUGAUAUAUAAAGGUGGCAGAUGAA